CAGUCGCCACGGGAAUACGGAGGGGGCUAGCGUUGUUCGGAAUUACUGGGCGUAAAGCGCACGUAGGCGGCUUUGUAAGUUAGAGGUGAAAGCCCGGAGCUCAACUCCGGAAUUGCCUUUAAGACUGCAGAGCUAGCAGGUGAGAGAGGUGAGUGGAAUUCCGAGUGUAGAGGUGAAAUUCGUAGAUAUUCGGAAGAACACCAGUGGCGAAGGCGGCUCACUGGCUCAUACUGGACGCUGAGGUGCGAAAGCGUGGGGAGCAAACAGGAUUAGAUACCCCCGUAGUCCCUGUCUCUUAUAU
rnacentral:rRNA from 1 species